rnacentral:rRNA from 1 species
GAUGAACGCUGGCGGCGUGCCUAAUACAUGCAAGUCGAGCGAACAGACGAGGAGCUUGCUCCUCUGACGUUAGCGGCGGACGGGUGAGUAACACGUGGAUAACCUACCUAUAAGACUGGGAUAACUUCGGGAAACCGGAGCUAAUACCGGAUAAUAUAUUGAACCGCAUGGUUCAAUAGUGAAAGACGGUUUUGCUGUCACUUAUAGAUGGAUCCGCGCCGCAUUAGCUAGUUGGUAAGGUAACGGCUUACCAAGGCGACGAUGCGUAGCCGACCUGAGAGGGUGGUCGGCCACACUGGAACUGAGACACGGUCCAGACUCCUACGGGAGGCAGCAGUAGGGAAUCUUCCGCAAUGGGCGAAAGCCUGACGGAGCAACGCCGCGUGAGUGAUGAAGGUCUUCGGAUCUUAAAACUCUGUUAUUAGGGAAGAACAAAUGUGUAAGUAACUAUGCACGUCUUGACGGUACCUAAUCAGAAAGCCACGGCUAACUACGUG